rnacentral:rRNA from 1 species
UACGAAGGGGGCUAGCGUUGCUCGGAAUCACUGGGCGUAAAGGGCGCGUAGGCGGCACGGCAAGUCAGGAGUGAAAGGCCUGGGCUCAACCGAGGAACUGCUUUUGAGACUGCCGAGCUAGAGUGCAGAAGGGGCAACUGGAAUUCCCAGUGUAGCGGUGAAAUGCGUAGAUAUUGGGAAGAACACCUGAGGCGAAGGCGGGUUGCUGGGCUGACACUGACGCUGAGGCGCGAAAGCCAGGGGAGCAAACGGG